GUCCGCAACGAGCGCAACCCCUUUCUUUAGUUACCAUCAUUUAGUUGGGGACUCUAAAGAUACUGCCCCGGUUAACGGGGAGGAAGGUGGGGAUGACGUCAAGUCCUCAUGGCCUUUAUGCCUAGAGCUACACACGUGCUACAAUGGACUGUACAAAGGGUUGCCAGCCUGCGAAGUGAGCCAAUCCCAUAAAGCAGUUCGUAGUUCGGAUUGGAGUCUGCAACUCGACUCCAUGAAGCUGGAAUCGCUAGUAAUCGUGAUCAGAACGCCACGGUGAAUACGUUCCCGGGCCUUGUACACACCGCCCGUCACACCAU
rnacentral:rRNA from 1 species